rnacentral:rRNA from 1 species
UGGUAAUGCCGGAUGCUCCAUCACACCGCAUGGUGUGUUGGGAAAGCCUUUGCGGCAUGGGAUGGGGUCGCGUCCUAUCAGCUUGAUGGCGGGGUAACGGCCCACCAUGGCUUCGACGGGUAGCCGGCCUGAGAGGGCGACCGGCCACAUUGGGACUGAGAUACGGCCCAGACUCCUACGGGAGGCAGCAGUGGGGAAUAUUGCACAAUGGGCGCAAGCCUGAUGCAGCGACGCCGCGUGAGGGAUGGAGGCCUUCGGGUUGUAAACCUCUUUUGUUAGGGAGCAAGGCACUUUGUGUUGAGUGUACCUUUCGAAUAAGCACCGGCUAACUACGUGCCAGCAGCCGCGGUAAUACGUAGGGUGCAAGCGUUAUCCGGAAUUAUUGGGCGUAAAGGGCUCGUAGGCGGUUCGUCGCGUCCGGUGUGAAAGUCCAUCGCUUAACGGUGGAUCCGCGCCGGGUACGGGCGGGCUUGAGUGCGGUAGGGGAGACUGGAAUUCCCGGUGUAACGGUGGAAUGUGUAGAUAUCGGG